AAUCAACGCUGGCGGCGUGCCUCAGACAUGCAAGUCGAACGAUUAAAGCUCUCUUCGGAGAGUGUAUAGAGUGGCGCACGGGUGAGUAACACGCAAGUAAUCUACCCUCGAGUGGGGAAUAACAACCGGAAACGGUUGCUAAUACCGCAUAAUGCAGCGGCACCGCAAGGUGACAGUUGUUAAAGAUUUAUCGCUUGAGGAGGAGCUUGCGGCAGAUUAGCUAGUUGGUAGGGUAACGGCUUACCAAGGCUACGAUCUGUAACCGGUCAAGAGGACGGUCGGUCACACUGACACUGAAUAACGGGUCAGACUCCUACGGGAGGCAGCAGUCGGGAAUUUUGGGCAAUGGGCGAAAGCCUGACCCAGCAACGCCGCGUGAAGGAUGAAGUAUUUCGGUAUGUAAACUUCGAAAGAAUAGGAAGAAUUAAUGACGGUACUAUUUAUAAGGUCCGGCUAACUACGUGCCAGCAGCCGCGGUAAAGUCUGUACU
rnacentral:rRNA from 1 species